GUGGGGAAUAUUGGACAAUGGGCGAAAGCCUGAUCCAGCCAUGCCGCGUGUGUGAAGAAGGUCUUCGGAUUGUAAAGCACUUUAAGUUGGGAGGAAGGGCAGUAAGUUAAUACCUUGCUGUUUUGACGUUACCGACAGAAUAAGCACCGGCUAACUUCGUGCCAGCAGCCGCGGUAAUACGAAGGGUGCAAGCGUUAAUCGGAAUUACUGGGCGUAAAGCGCGCGUAGGUGGUCUUGUAAGUUGGAGGUGAAAUCCCCGGGCUCAACCUGGGAACUGCCUCCAAAACUGCAUGACUAGAGUACGGUAGAGGGUAGUGGAAUUUCCUGUGUAGCGGUGAAAUGCGUAGAUAUAGGAAGGAACACCAGUGGCGAAGGCGACUACCUGGACUGAUACUGACACUGAGGUGCGAAAGCGUGGGGAGCAAACAGGAUUAGAUACCCCUGUAGUCC
rnacentral:rRNA from 1 species